ensembl:rRNA 5S_rRNA 5S ribosomal RNA
GUCUAUGGCCAUACCACCCUGAAUGUGCCUGAUCUUGUCUGAUCUCGGAAGCUAAGCAGGAUCAGGCCUGGUUAGUACUUGGAUGGGAGGCUCUUUAUAUAUUAGGAAAAUAGUUC